AACGCACAUUGCGCCCUUUGGUAUUCCGAAGGGCAUGCCUGUUCGAGCGUCAUUAUCAACCAUCAAGCUCUGCUUGGCAUUGGGUGUCGACCCCCCCUCACCGGGUGGUCUCGCCUCAAACUGUUCGGCGGUGGCUCAGGGCCUCAAGCGUUAGUAAUACUUCCCGCUUCGGAGAAACUGAGUUGCCUGCCUCCAGAAACCCCCAUCUCAAGGUUGACCUCGGAUCAGGUAGGGAUACCCGCUGAACUUAA
rnacentral:misc_RNA from 3 species